rnacentral:snRNA from 1 species
GUACUCGCUUCGGCGGUACAUAUACUAAAAUUGGAACGAUACAGAGAAGAUUAGCAUGACCCCUGCGCAAGGAUGACACGCAAAAGAGUUUGAUCCUAGCUUUGUUA